GGAAGGAAGAGUUCUGUGAGGAGUUAGCCAAGAAAAAGAAGAAAAGGGAUCUCAAAAGUGGAGAAAUGUGGUGGCAAAGGGACGAAGAGGUAGCGCCUGAAAGAAAGAGGAGGAAAAGCAAGGGAAGUAGGAGCAGCAUUGAUUGGUGGCUUGAUAGUUUCAGUGGCGAGUUUCGGAUUGGAAGACGAAGUAGUCAAGAUUUUGCCAGUGGAGAUAUUCCCAAGAGUGGAGGUGUGAGUAGUACCCCCAGUAUGAGAGGAACAGUUUGUUACAUCGCUCCAGAGUAUGGCGGUGGAGGGCAGCUCUCAGAGAAAUGCGACGUGUACAGUUUUGGUGUUUUGUUAUUGGUUUUAGU
rnacentral:misc_RNA from 1 species